CGGCAGUGUCUUCUGAAAAGAGAGCUGUUUAGAGGUGAGUGAUUAAGUUUUUCUCCUAAAUAGAGAUCAUUACAGAACGCCUAGUCCUACUUAAAAUACCAUUCAUUUUUCUUUUAUUUUAUCAUCUACUCGAACUGAGGAAAACGUUUGACUAACUCAAAGAAAAGUUCCGCGCCUCCCCUGCCUGUCUGCAGAGGCAGUUUUGAAUUCAGGAGCGGCAUGAUGGCAGCGGCAAACCCUGGCGGUUCUCCGGGUUCGUGGCAACCACGGAUGGGAAAAUGUGGAGGUUGCACGGCUGAUGUUUACUGUUCGUGGCACAGGAAGAGGCAGUUUCAUUUCAGGAAUGAGUGUGCACAAUCAAAGAAUAGAGCGACUGUGGGGAGACCUCUGGGUGGCCGUUACAUGCAUUUACUACGAUGUUCUUCACAACCCUGAGGAAGAAGGCCUUCUUGACAUUUCAAAUGCUGCACACCUCUUUUGCUGCCAUUACAUCUUUCUUCCUCGACUAGAGGAUAAUUUUAAUACAUUUUGCAGUGGAUGGGACAACCAUCCACUGCGAACAGAAAACAACAUGAGUCCCCCAACCAGCUGUGGGAGUUGGGUCACAGAUAUUACCCUGUUCCUGUUCCAGAAAACACACAGCUUAUCACACAUUUGAUUUCCAUGUGUGACGACUGCAAGUGUCCAGAGUGAGGACAGACUGAGGGACCCACUGCUGCACAUCAUCUGUGAGGCUUUGCACCCCUGAUGAUCCACCAGGACACACUCAGCAGUGUGUGAGGAAGAGGAGGAGGAAGAGCCAGCAGCAGCUGACAGAUGGAGAGAAUAGACAGACUGUUCCCUGUUUGUGAAGGACUGCUAGAAAAGUUUAAAAUAACUAAUUGUCUGUCCUGAAUCAGUCUUAUUAGGUAAUGUUCAAAUAAUGUUAUCAUUCCAGUGUUUUCAGUGUGGGAGAAAGUACUCAGGGCCUUCAAGUUACACACUAUGAAA